rnacentral:ncRNA from 1 species
UUUAUGGGGUGACUGCGUACCUUUUGUAUAAUGGGUCAGCGACUUAUAUUCAGUGGCAAGGUUAACCGGAUAGGGAAGCCGUAGCGAAAGCGAGUCUUAACUGGGCGUUCAGUCUCUGGAUAUAGACCCGAAACCGGGUGAUCUAGCCAUGGGCAGGUUGAAGGUUGAGUAACAUCAACUGGAGGACCGAACCGACUAAUGUUGAAAAAUUAGCGGAUGACUUGUGGCUAGGGGUGAAAGGCCAAUCAAACCCGGAGAUAGCUGGUUCUCCCCGAAAGCUAUUUAGGUAGCGCCUCGGACGAAUACUACUGGGGGUAGAGCACUGUUAAGGCUAGGGGGUCAUCCCGACUUACCAACCCUUUGCAAACUCCGAAUACCAGUAAGUACUAUCCGGGAGACACACGGCGGGUGCUAACGUCCGUCGUGGAGAGGGAAACAACCCAGACCGCCAGCUAAGGUCCCAAAUUAUUGCUAAGUGGGAAACGAUGUGGGAAGGCUCAGACAGCUAGGAUGUUGGCUUAGAAGCAGCCAUCAUUUAAAGAAAGCGUAAUAGCUCACUAGUCGAGUCGGCCUGCGCGGAAGAUGUAACGGGGCUAAGCAAUAAACCGAAGCUGCGGCAAUACGAUUUAUCGUAUUGGGUAGGGGAGCGUUCUGUAAGCGGCUGAAGGUGUGCUGUAAGGCAUGCUGGACGUAUCAGAAGUGCGAAUGCUGACAUGAGUAACGAUAAUGGGGGUGAAAAACCCCCACGCCGGAAGACCAAGGGUUCCUGUCCAACGUUAAUCGGGGCAGGGUAAGUCGACCCCUAAGGCGAGGCUGAAAAGCGUAGUCGAUGGGAAACGGGUUAAUAUUCCCGUACUUCUUACAAUUGCGAUGGGGGGACGGAGAAGGCUAGGUGGGCCAGGCGACGGUUGUCCUGGUUCAAGUGCGUAGGCUGUGGGAUUAGGCAAAUCCGGUUCCACGAUAAGGCUGAGACACGAUGUCGGGCUACUAAGGUAGUGAAGUCAUUGAUGCCAUGCUUCCGGGAAAAGCCUCUAAGCUUCAGAUUGUAAGGAAUCGUACCCCAAACCGACACAGGUGGUCGGGUAGAGAAUACCAAGGCGCUUGAGAGAACUCGGGUGAAGGAACUAGGCAAAAUGGUACCGUAACUUCGGGAGAAGGUACGCUCUUGACGGUGAAGAGA